GCACGCACUUCAUUAUAAAAAGCCGAAAUGUUCUAAGGCAAAUGCAUUUUUUACAGGAAGUCUGUUUACAAGGAGAAUUUCAGACUGCCACAUCUUGAACUUGUCAUUGCCAUUUCAGUGUAACAGUAAGCCUAGAAAGUCAUCUUCAUUUGGUAGCUUAAGAAUAUUCAACAGGUGACCAAGGAAGCUGUCCUGUCCUGGGAAUUUUGAAUUAAAUAAAAGGAUAUUUAAUUCCACCUCCUUCAUUUUAAGCUGUAGUCUUCUAAAGUAGGAUGGAAAG